GAUGAACGCUAGCUACAGGCUUAACACAUGCAAGUCGAGGGGAAACGGCAUUAAGUGCUUGCACUCUUUGGACGUCGACCGGCGCACGGGUGAGUAACGCGUAUCCAACCUUCCCAUGACUAAGGGAUAACCUGCCGAAAGGCAGACUAAUACCUUAUGGUCUUCACUGACGGCAUCAGAUGUGAAGUAAAGAUUUAUCGGUUAUGGAUGGGGAUGCGUCUGAUUAGCUUGUUGGCGGGGUAACGGCCCACCAAGGCAACGAUCAGUAGGGGUUCUGAGAGGAAGGUCCCCCACAUUGGAACUGAGACACGGUCCAAACUCCUACGGGAGGCAGCAGUGAGGAAUAUUGGUCAAUGGGCGAGAGCCUGAACCAGCCAAGUAGCGUGCAGGAUGACGGCCCUAUGGGUUGUAAACUGCUUUUGUAUGGGGAUAAAGUCAAUCACGUGUGAUUGUUUGCAGGUACCAUACGAAUAAGGACCGGCCAAUUCCGUGCCAGCAGCCGCGGUAAUACGGAAGGUCCGGGCGUUAUCCGGAUUUAUUGGGUUUAAAGGGAGCGUAGGCUGGAGAUUAAGUGUGUUGUGAAAUGUAGACGCUCAACGUCUGACUUGCAGCGCAUACUGGUUUCCUUGAGUACGCACAACGUUGGCGGAAUUCGUCGUGUAGCGGUGAAAUGCUUAGAUAUGACGAAGAACUCCGAUUGCGAAGGCAGCUGACGGGAGCGCAACUGACGCUGAAGCUCGAAGGUGCGGGUAUCGAACAGG
rnacentral:rRNA from 1 species